ensembl:ncRNA Y75B8A.51 ncRNA
UUAGGCUUACACUUAGGCUUAGACUUGGACUUAGUUUUAGUCUUAGGCUCAGGCUUAGGCUUAGGCUUAGGCUUAGA